CCUACGGGAGGCAGCAGUGGGGAAUCUUGCGCAAUGGGCGAAAGCCUGACGCAGCCAUGCCGCGUGUAUGAUGAAGGUCUUAGGAUUGUAAAAUACUUUCACCGGUGAAGAUAAUGACUGUAGCCGGAGAAGAAGCCCCGGCUAACUUCGUGCCAGCAGCCGCGGUAAUACGAAGGGGGCUAGCGUUGCUCGGAAUUACUGGGCGUAAAGGGAGCGUAGGCGGACAUUUAAGUCAGAGGUGAAAUCCCGGAGCUUAACUUCGGAACUGCCUUUGAUACUGGGUGUCUUGAGUGUGAGAGAGGUAUGUGGAACUCCGAGUGUAGAGGUGAAAUUCGUAGAUAUUCGGAAGAACACCAGUGGCGAAGGCGACAUACUGGCUCAUUACUGACGCUGAGGCUCGAAAGCGUGGGGAGCAAACAGGAUUAGAUACCCUGGUAGUCCACGCCGUAAACGAUGAUUGCUAGUUGUCGGGAAGCUUGCUUCUCGGUGACGCAGCUAACGCAUUAAGCAAUCCGCCUGGGGAGUACGGUCGCAAGAUUAAAACUCAAAGGAUUGACGG
rnacentral:rRNA from 1 species